GACGAACGCUGGCGGCGUGCCUAACACAUGCAAGUGGAGCGACGAACCAGGCUUCGGCCUGGAGCAAAGCCGCGAACGGGUGAGUAACACGUGGGUAACCUGCCCCGAUGACCGGGACAACCCGAGGAAACUCGGGCUAAUACCGGAUGUGCCCUACCGGCAUCAGCCGGUCGGGUAAAGGAAGCUUCGGCCUCCACAUUGGGAGGGGCCCGCGGCCCAUUAGCUAGUUGGUGAGGUAAAGGCUCACCAAGGCAACUAUGGGUAGCUGGUCUGAGAGGACGAUCAGCCACACUGGGACUGAGACACGGCCCAGACUCCUACGGGAGGCAGCAGUGGGGAAUCUUGCGCAAUGCGCGAAAGCGUGACGCAGCAACGCCGCGUGGGGAAGAAGGCCU
rnacentral:rRNA from 1 species